rnacentral:rRNA from 1 species
CCUACGGGAGGCAGCAGUGAGGAAUAUUGGUCAAUGGACGGAAGUCUGAACCAGCCAUGCCGCGUGCAGGAAGACGGCUCUAUGAGUUGUAAACUGCUUUUGUACAAGGGUAAACCUGAAUACGUGUAUUCGGCUGAAAGUACUGUACGAAUAAGGAUCGGCUAACUCCGUGCCAGCAGCCGCGGUAAUACGGAGGAUCCAAGCGUUAUCCGGAUUUAUUGGGUUUAAAGGGUGCGUAGGCGGAUUGAUAAGUUAGAGGUGAAAUGUCCGAGCUUAACUCGGGAACUGCCUCUAAUACUGUUGAUCUAGAGAGUAGAUGCGGUAGGCGGAAUGUAUGGUGUAGCUGUGAAAUGCUUAGAGAUCAUACAGAACACCGAUUGCGAAGGCAGCUUACCAAUCUAUAUCUGACGUUGAGGCACGAAAGCGUGGGGAGCAAACAGGAUUAGAUACCCUAGUAGUC